GACGAACGCUGGCGGCGUGCUUAACACAUGCAAGUCGAGCGGUAAGGCCCUUUCGGGGGUACACGAGCGGCGAACGGGUGAGUAACACGUGGGUGACCUGCCCUCAGCUCUGGGAUAAGCCUGGGAAACCGGGUCUAAUACUGGAUAUGACUCCAUGACGCAUGUUGUGGGGUGGAAAGCCUUGUGCGGCUGAGGAUGGGCCCGCGGCCUAUCAGCUUGUUGGUGGGGUGANGGCCUACCAAGGCGACGACGGGUAGCCGGCCUGAGAGGGCGACCGGCCACACUGGGGACUGAGACACGGCCCAGACUCCUACGGGAGGCAGCAGUGGGGAAUCUUGUCGCAAUAGGGCGGAAACGACUCGACGCAGCGACGCCGCGU
rnacentral:rRNA from 1 species